AAGCGCUUGUGACCAGACUUGGGCGCGGCGGAUCAUCCGGGGUUCUCUCCGGUGCACUUCGCCGUGUUCAGGCCAGCAUCAGUUCGCUGUGGGGGCUAAAGGCUUUGGGAAUGUGGCUCCUCCGGGAGUGUUAUAGCCCAUUGUGUAAUACCCUGUGGUGGACUGAGGUUCGCGCAUCUGCAAGGAUGCUGGCGUAAUGGUCAUCAGCGA
rnacentral:rRNA from 1 species